UACGUAGGGUGCAAGCGUUAAUCGGAAUUACUGGGCGUAAAGCGUGCGCAGGCGGUCUUGUAAGUCUGACGUGAAAGCCCCGGGCUUAACCUGGGAAUUGCGUUGGAGACUGCAAGGCUUGAAUCUGGCAGAGGGGGGUAGAAUUCCACGUGUAGCAGUGAAAUGCGUAGAGAUGUGGAGGAACACCGAUGGCGAAGGCAGCCCCCUGGGUCAAGAUUGACGCUCAUGCACGAAAGCGUGGGGAGCAAACAGG
rnacentral:rRNA from 1 species